GUAAGCCGGACUCGUGCUGUUUCUGGGCGGCCGCGGGAAAGCGUCUGAGGAGUUUAUUUCACGCAGGGAUGAGAUGAGGUUGUGUGGGCAGAAGCAUUUUCUAAAAUGGUAUUUCUUGUAGUCGUAUUCAUAUACCGGUUUUAGGAAGGCUUGGGACCUUUGAAACUCAGGUUCUACGAAGAGCUCCUUUUAGAGC